CUAGAGAUAGAAAGUUACUUCGGUACAUCGGUGACAGGUGGUGCAUGGUUGUCGUCAGCUCGUGUCGUGAGAUGUUGGGUUAAGUCCCGCAACGAGCGCAACCCCUAUUGUUAGUUGCCAUCAUUCAGUUGGGCACUCUAGCGAGACUGCCGGUAAUAAACCGGAGGAAGUGGGGAUGGCGUCAAAUCAUCAUGCCCCUUAUGACCUGGGCUACACACGUGCUACAAUGGUUGGUACAACGAGUUGCGAGUCGGUGACGGCGAGCUAAUCUCUUAAAGCCAAUCUCAGUUCGGAUUGUAGGCUGCAACUCGCCUACAUGAAGUCGGAAUCGCUAGUAAUCGCGGAUCAGCACGCCGCGGUGAAUACCGGUUCCCGGGCCUU
rnacentral:rRNA from 1 species